rnacentral:rRNA from 1 species
GGACUACUGGGGUUUCUAAUCCUGUUUGCUCCCCACGCUUUCGUGUCUCAGCGUCAGUAUUCGUCCAGUUGGCCGCCUUCGCCACCGGUGUUCCUCUCGAUAUCUACGAAUUUCACCUCUACACCGAGAAUUCCACCAACCUCUCCGAUACUCGAGCCUUACAGUAUCGGGUGCACUUCCCAGGUUAAGCCUGGGGCUUUCACAUCCGACUUAUAAGGCCGCCUACACACGCUUUACGCCCAGUAAUUCCGAACAACGUUUGCACCCUCUGUCUUACCGCGGCUGCUGGCAC